CAUGUAGUUCUCCAUGUAGUUCUCCAUGUAGGUCUCCAUGUUGGUCUCCAUGAUGUUCUCCAUGUAGGUCUCCGUGUUGGUCUCCGUGUUGGUCUCCAUGUAGGUCUCCGUGUUGUUCUCCGUGUUGGUCUCCGUGUUGUUCUCCAUGUUGGUCUCCGUGUUGGUCUCCGUGUUGGUCUCCAUGUAGGUCUCCGUGUUGUUCUCCAUGUUGGUCUCCGUGUUGUUCUCCAUGUUGUUCUCCGUGUUGGUCUCCGUGUUGGUCUCCGUGUUGUUCUCCAUGUUGUUCUCCGUGUUGGUCUCCCUGUUGGUCUCCAUAAAUUUCAAAUUUUUGCUGUAAUGAUUCUGCUAAAAAAAA
ensembl:lncRNA